GGGGCGUUAGCUCAGUUGGUAGAGCAUCGGACUUUUAAUCCGCUGGUCGAGCGUUCAAAUCGCUCACGCCCCCACCA
rnacentral:tRNA from 1 species